rnacentral:rRNA from 1 species
AUUGAACGCUGGCGGCAGGCCUAACACAUGCAAGUCGAGCGGAGCGGCGGACGGGUAAGUGAUGCCUAGGGAUCUGCCUGGUGGUGGGGGAUCACGUCCGGGAACGGGCGCUAAUACCGCAUACUAUCAGAUGAGCCUCGGUCGGAUUAGCUAGUUGGUGGGGUAAAGGCCUACCAAGGCGACGAUCCGUAACUGGACUGAGAGGAUGAUCAGUCACACUGGAACUGAGACACGGCCCAGACUCCUACGGGAGGCAGCAGUGGGGAAUAUUGGACAAUGGGCGAAAGCCUGAUCCAGCCAUGCCGCGUGUGUGAAGAAGGUCUUCGGAUUGUAAAGCACUUUAGGUUGAGAAGCGUUACCAACAGAGUAAGCACCGGCUAACUUCGUGCCAGCAGCCGCGGUAAUUC